GUGUGUUCCAGGUAAAUCCGGUUCACUUUAACACUGAGGCGUGAUGACGAGGCACUACGGUGCUGAAGCAACAAAUGCCCUGCUUCCAGGAAAAGCCUCUAAGCAUCAGGUAACAUCAAAUCGUACCCCAAACCGACACAGGUGGUCAGGUAGAGAAUACCAAGGCGCUUGAGAGAACUCGGGUGAAGGAACUAGGCAAAAUGGUGCCGUAACUUCGGGAGAAGGCACGCUGACACGUAGGUGAAGUGAUUUACUCACGGAGCUGAAGUCAGUCGAAGAUACCAGCUGGCUGCAACUGUUUAUUAAAAACACAGCACUGUGCAAACACGAAAGUGGACGUAUACGGUGUGACGCCUGCCCGGUGCCGGAAGGUUAAUUGAUGGGGUCAGCGCAAGCGAAGCUCCUGAUCGAAGCCCCGGUAAACGGCGGCCGUAACUAUAACGGUCCUAAGGUAGCGAAAUUCCUUGUCGGGUAAGUUCCGACCUGCACGAAUGGCGUAAUGAUGGCCAGGCUGUCUCCACCCGAGACUCAGUGAAAUUGAACUCGCUGUGAAGAUGCAGUGUACCCGCGGCAAGACGGAAAGACCCCGUGAACCUUUACUAUAGCUUGACACUGAACAUUGAGCCUUGAUGUGUAGGAUAGGUGGGAGGCUUUGAAGUGUGGACGCCAGUCUGCAUGGAGCCGACCUUGAAAUACCACCCUUUAAUGUUUGAUGUUCUAACGUGGACCCGUGAUCCGGGUUGCGGACAGUGUCUGGUGGGUAGUUUGACUGGGGCGGUCUCCUCCUAAAGAGUAACGGAGGAGCACGAAGGUUGGCUAAUCCUGGUCGGACAUCAGGAGGUUAGUGCAAUGGCAUAAGCCAGCUUGACUGCGAGCGUGACGGCGCGAGCAGGUGCGAAAGCAGGUCAUAGUGAUCCGGUGGUUCUGAAUGGAAGGGCCAUCGCUCAACGGAUAAAAGGUACUCCGGGGAUAACAGGCUGAUACCGCCCAAGAGUUCAUAUCGACGGCGGUGUUUGGCACCUCGAUGUCGGCUCAUCACAUCCUGGGGCUGAAGUAGGUCCCAAGGGUAUGGCUGUUCGCCAUUUAAAGUGGUACGCGAGCUGGGUUUAGAACGUCGUGAGACAGUUCGGUCCCUAUCUGCCGUGGGCGCUGGAGAACUGAGGGGGGCUGCUCCUAGUACGAGAGGACCGGAGUGGACGCAUCACUGGUGUUCGGGUUGUCAUGCCAAUGGCACUGCCCGGUAGCUAAAUGCGGAAGAGAUAAGUGCUGAAAGCAUCUAAGCACGAAACUUGCCCCGAGAUGAGUUCUCCCUGAGACUUAGAGUCUCCUGAAGGAACGUUGAAGACGACGACGUUGAUAGGCCGGGUGUGUAAGCGCAGCGAUGCGUUGAGCUAACCGGUACUAAUGAACCGUGAGGCUUAACCUUACAACGCCG
rnacentral:rRNA from 1 species